GAUCAUGGCUCAGGAUGAACACUAGCUACAGGCUUAACACAUGCAGGUCGAGGGGCAGCAUGGUCUUAGCUUGCUAAGGCCGAUGGCGACCGGCGCACGGGUGAGUAACGCGUAUCCAACCUGCCUUACACUCUUGGACAGCCUUCUGAAAGGGAGAUUAAUACAAGAUGUUAUCAUGAGUAAGCAUUUUCGCAUGAUUAAAGGUUUACCGGUGUAAGAUGGGGAUGCGUU
rnacentral:rRNA from 1 species